GAGGUUGUGGUUCAGUGGUAGAACACUCGCCUAGCAUGUGCGAAGCCCUGGGUUUGAUCCUUAGCACCACA
rnacentral:tRNA from 1 species